AAAUUAACUCAAAAUGGAUACAGACCUAAAUGUAAGAGCUAAACCUAUAAAACUAUUAGAUGAAAACACAGCAAGAACAAUCUAUGACAUAGAU